rnacentral:rRNA from 1 species
AGAGUUUGAUCCUGGCUCAGGAUGAACGCUAGCGGCAGGCUUAACACAUGCAAGUCGAGGGGCAGCGGGGAGUAGCAAUACUCCGCCGGCGACCGGCGCACGGGUGCGUAACGCGUAUGCAACCUACCUUUAACAGGGGCAUAACACUGAGAAAUUGGUACUAAUUCCCCAUAACAUUCGAGAAGGCAUCUUCUUGGGUUAAAAACUCCGGUGGUUAAAGAUGGGCAUGCGUUGUAUUAGCUAGUUGGUGAGGUAACGGCUCACCAAGGCGACGAUACAUAGGGGGACUGAGAGGUUAACCCCCCACAUUGGUACUGAGACACGGACCAAACUCCUACGGGAGGCAGCAGUGAGGAAUAUUGGUCAAUGGACGCAAGUCUGAACCAGCCAUGCCGCGUGCAGGAAGACGGCUCUAUGAGUUGUAAACUGCUUUUGUACUAGGGUAAACGCUCUUACGUGUAGGAGCCUGAAAGUAUAGUACGAAUAAGGAUCGGCUAACUCCGUGCCAGCAGCCGCGGUAAUACGGAGGAUCCAAGCGUUAUCCGGAUUUAUUGGGUUUAAAGGGUGCGUAGGCGGUUUGAUAAGUUAGAGGUGAAAUACCGGGGCUCAACUCCGGAACUGCCUCUAAUACUGUUGAACUAGAGAGUAGUUGCGGUAGGCGGAAUGUAUGGUGUAGCGGUGAAAUGCUUAGAGAUCAUACAGAACACCGAUUGCGAAGGCAGCUUACCAAACUAUAUCUGACGUUGAGGCACGAAAGCGUGGGGAGCAAACAGGAUUAGAUACCCUGGUAGUCCACGCAGUAAACGAUGAUAACUCGUUGUCGGCGAUACACAGUCGGUGACUAAGCGAAAGCGAUAAGUUAUCCACCUGGGGAGUACGUUCGCAAGAAUGAAACUCAAAGGAAUUGACGGGGGCCCGCACAAGCGGAGGAACAUGUG